UACGGAGGGUGCAAGCGUUGCUCGGAAUUAUUGGGCGUAAAGGGUAGGUAGGUGGUCUCAUUUGUCUGGGGUGAAAGCCUUGAGCUUAACUCAAGAAGUGCCCCAGAAACGGUGAGACUAGAGUCCUGGAGAGGGUCGUGGAAUUCCCGGUGUAGCGGUGAAAUGCGUAGAGAUCGGGAGGAAUACCAGAGGCGAAGGCGGCGAACUGGACAGCAACUGACACUCAACUACGAAAGCGUGGGUAGCAAACAGG
rnacentral:rRNA from 1 species